rnacentral:rRNA from 1 species
CAAUAGCGUAUAUUAAUGUUGUUGCAGUUAAAAAGCUCGUAUUUGGACUUCUGCCCGGAGCGUCCGGUCGUCCCCUCACGGGGUCUGUACUUGGACGUCUUUGGGCAUCCUUGGCGAGAGCGUGUUGGGCAUUAAGUUGUCCGGCGUGGGAUCGCCAUCAUUUACUGUGAAAAAAUUAGAGUGUUUAAAGCAGGCGUUUGCUGUGAAUACAUUAGCAUGGAAUAAUAAGAUAGGACUUUGGUGCUAUUUUGUUGGUUUGUACACCGAGGUAAUGAUUAAUAGGGACAGUUGGGGGCGAUUUUUAUUUCCAUUGUCAGAGGUGAAAUUCUUGGAUUAACGGAAGAAAACUAACUGCGAAAGCAUCUGCCAAGGAUGUUUUCUAUUGAUCAAGAACGAAAGUUAGGGGA